GGCACUGCAUCUCAGUGAUAGAGACGUAGCUACAGACCCUGGUUCGAUUCCAGGCUGUAUCA
rnacentral:tRNA from 1 species